GGGCACUUAGCUCAGCGGUAGAGCGCCUCGCUUACACCGAGGAUGCCGGCGGUUCGAAUCCGUCAGUGCCCA
rfam:Roseomonas cervicalis ATCC 49957 contig00764, whole genome shotgun sequence.